GGUCAUUACAGAGUUAUAAAACUCCAACCCAUGUGACUUACCUAUGUUGCCUCGGCGGAGCCUACCCGGUACCUACCCUGUAACGCUCCGCCGGUGGACCUUUAAACUCUUGUUAUUUUAUAGUAAUCUGAGCGUCUUAUUUUAAUAAGUCAAAACUUUCAACAACGGAUCUCUUGGUUCUGGCAUCGAUGAAGAACGCAGCGAAAUGCGAUACGUAAUGUGAAUUGCAGAAUUCAGUGAAUCAUCGAAUCUUUGAACGCACAUUGCGCCCAUUAGUAUUCUAGUGGGCAUGCCUGUUCGAGCGUCAUUUCAACCCUUAAGCCUAGCUUAGUAUUGGGAAUUUACUGUAUUGUAAUUCCUCAAAUCCAACGGCGGAUCUGUGGUAUCCUCUGAGCGUAGUAAUUUUUUAUCUCGCUUUGGUAAGGUGCUGCAGCUCUCAGCCGCUAAACCCCCCAAUUUUUAAUGGUUGACCUCGGAUCAGGUAGGAAUACCCGCUGAACUUAAGCAUAUC
rnacentral:rRNA from 1 species